GAUGAACGCUGGCGGCGUGCCUAAUACAUGCAAGUCGAGCGAACAGAUGAGGAGCUUGCUCCUCUGACGUUAGCGGCGGACGGGUGAGUAACACGUGGAUAACCUACCUAUAAGACUGGGAUAACUUCGGGAAACCGGAGCUAAUACCGGAUAAUAUAUUGAACAGCAUGGUUCAAUAGUGAAAGACGGUUUUGCUGUCACUUAUAGAUGGAUCCGCGCCGCAUUAGCUAGUUGGUAAGGUAACGGCUUACCAAGGCAACGAUGCGUAGCCGACCUGAGAGGGUGAUCGGCCACACGGGAACUGAGACACGGUCCAGACUCCUACGGGAGGCAGCAGUAGGGAAUCUUCCGCAAUGGGCGAAAUCCUGACGGAGCAACGCCGCGUGAGUGAUGAAGGUCUUCGGAUCGUAAAACUCUGUUAUUAGGGAAGAACAAAUGUGUAAGUAACUAUGCACGUCUUGACGGUACCUAAUCAGAAAGCCACGGCUAACUACGUG
rnacentral:rRNA from 1 species